UAAUUCAAAUUUAAAAUUCAGUUCCUCAGCUGCCCCGCAGGUGCAGACGCUACAUGUGGCUGCUGGUCACCACUGCCUUGGCAGGAGCACCUCCCUCGGUGCAGAAGCUCUAGGCGCCAGUGGUCACGGAGAGGCUCUGCUGCCCCAGUGGGGCGGGGCGGGAGGCAUCAUUUUAUGGCAAGUGCUUUGGCACUGUGCCUGAGGAAGAUCACCAUGGCCAGGCGACCAACCCAGACAGGGACUGAGCCAAGAUGAAUCAGCCUGGUGAGCCAAUACUUGUCACAAAGCCUGAGCCACCCAACUCGAGGUCACCCAGAAAAGCCAAGGCAAUGAAGACAGUGACAGGGGCUGGGAAGCAGGACACAAAGAAAUGAGACUUGAGAAGACCAUCACGACGCAAGAGUUAGGUACAACAGAGCCAAAACUGCAAGGCAUGGAGCCCAGGCAUGCACAAUGGAACAAGCUUUGACCUCUAACAAUACCCAGAACCAAUGACUCCUCCCCUCAGAACCAAGACGACCAGGACAGGACUGGAACCUGAACAUGGAAAUCUUUCAGAAGCAGGGAUCCGUUGGCCUGGGAGACUGGGGCUCAAAUCUGCCUUGACAAUCCUUUCCAUAAUGGUUAAAUUUGAAGCCCCACAAUCAGACCCUGCCAAGCCAACACUGCUAAAUCAUUUCCCUUGCCCUCUGGUCCCUUAAAGCUUGCCCCAGACCUCAAACUGGGGAGACAGAUUUGAGCCCCACUCCUGCCUUCUUGCUGGUCAGUUUUGCAAUAAAGCCUUUCUUUUCUCAAAA